AAAAAAAGUCUUGUGGCAUGAACAGAUUGAACAAAUUUGUUUCAGAUCAAAGUUUCGUGAACUCGCUCCAUUUGCAACAACUGGCUGACAAUAUGAACCUUCAAACCUACCUUAAAAUCCAUCUGGCUGCAUCAAGGGAUGGAGUUCUGUGUUGCUGGUGAACAGGAUACUGAAGAAUAGAACAGGAUACUUCCACUUCAAAGUCAACAAUCAGCAGUAAACAAAACAGAAGCCGGCCCCUCGUGAGCUCAAUCUGCAACUUGUUGACUGUAGUAAGAAAUAAAUAUAAACAACAUGCCUUCUAA